rnacentral:lncRNA from 1 species
GCUAGAGUAGGAAAGGAAGGUGGUAGCUCAGCUUUUUCUAGUAGUUUCUCAACUUCAGCAAGACUGCCAUUUGGAGCCAGAGAUUCUUUGUUGUGGGGAACUGUGCAUCGAAGGAUAUUGUGCAGCACCCCUGAUCUCUACCCAUUAGAUAUUAGUAUUAUUUCCUCUUCCGCACUCCCCAUUGUGACAACCAAAUUCUCUCCUGACAUUGUUAAAUGUCUCCAGGGUGGGGGUGGGGGCAAAAAUCGCACCAGAUGAGAAGCACUGGUCUAGUAGAAAAGAGUAUUUUCAGGCAAGUAACUUGCUGGCCUUAGUUUCCCUCCUCUGAAAAAAAAGCCUCAAUUCAGACCCAUCUGGGUUUGAAUGUCAGGGGCAUCUAGAAUUUUCUCAACUCUGUUUUCCCCUGUCCCACCAGUGGAUGUUCCCCACACCCGCCUGUUUGUUACUUUGGGGGCCUCCUGUGAGCCAAGCCCUGGGUUCCUCCUUUCUGCCUACACCCAUCACUGAAGGUACCUUCUUUCCCCAGGACCCAGUUCUGCUUACUUGGUCUUCUCUAGACAAGGAGCUCUGCUUGGCUCCCCUAUUUUAUCCCCACCCUCAAACUAACAUGUCUGAAAUCAACCACUUCAUCCUCAUCCCCUGGAAGCCUGGUCACCUGAAUGCUUUUCAGGACUCAUUGAUUGUCCUUUGAUCCAAGCCCUCUGAAUCCUAUCCCCAGGAUGUACGGUUCAUCCAGCCCCUCCUUCCUUCUCCUGCUGUCCCAGGCCAAGGCUUUAUUACCAGAUGGCCUGAUCAUGGACAUUAUGGGUAAGGGGCCGUACUGCCUGGGUUCUAAUCUCCACUCUGGCACUCACUAGCUGUGGCUUUGGGCAAGACACUUCAUUUUCUGAGUCUUAGUUUCAGCCUUUGAAAUGGGGAUAAUAUCAGGUGUGAGUAAUUGAUAGAUAAUUUGUGUAAAGCUCUGAUGUGCAAUAAAUGCCCACAUGUGUCACCUAGCAGAAGUAGCAGCAUUUUUUUUUUUUUUGGCAACAUGACAGUCCCACUUACCCAGGCUGAUCUUGCAGGCAUUGCAGUAGGUCAGCUUCUAAUACACUAGUUGCAGUUGAGAGCUGAUAUAUUAACUUGCCAUUCAAAUCCCCAUUUUUGUAAAAGGAGCAGGUGCCCCCUCCCCCACAGGCCUCACAGGGUGCCUUAAUCAAACCUCAGAUCCCACUAUGGGAAUGUCAACAUGCCUUGCAGGGUAGCCAGCAACACAGGGAUGCCAACAACUCUACCAUGGGGAAGCUAGGAAGAAGCUGCCCUUGGUCUCAG